rnacentral:piRNA from 1 species
CCUGACAGAAUCUGCUUACAAG